rnacentral:tRNA from 1 species
GCUGCGGUAGCUCAAACGGCCAGAGCGCUUGAUUGUCGAUCAUGAAGAUGCCGGUUCAAGUCCGACUCGCAGCGCCA